UACGUAGGGGGCAAGCGUUGUCCGGAAUCAUUGGGCGUAAAGAGCGCGUAGGCGGCCCAGUAAGUCCGCUCUGAAAGUCAGGGGCUCAACCCCUGAAUGCGGGUGGAUACUGCUGGGCUAGAGUCCGGAAGAGGCGAGUGGAAUUCCUGGUGUAGCGGUGAAAUGCGCAGAUAUCAGGAGGAACACCGAUGGCGAAGGCAGCUCGCUGGGACGGUACUGACGCUGAGACGCGAAAGCGUGGGGAGCGAACCGG
rnacentral:rRNA from 1 species